GACGGGCCUCCCCGCAUGGAAGCGUGGCCAACCGGGUCAGGUCGGGAACGAAGCAGCCCUAACCGCUGUGACCAGUGCCGGGAUCAGGCUCGUCACC
rfam:Ideonella sakaiensis DNA, contig: ISCTG008.